AGAGUUUGAUCCUGGCUCAGGAUGAACGCUGGCGGCGUGCUUAACACAUGCAAGUCGAACGAAACACCUUAUUUGAUUUUCUUCGGAACUGAAGAUUUGGUGAUUGAGUGGCGGACGGGUGAGUAACGCGUGGGUAACCUGCCCUGUGCAGGGGGAUAACAGACAGAAAUGACUGCUAAUACCGCAUAACACCACAGCACCGCAUGGUGCAUGGGUAAAAACUCCGGUGGUACAGGAUGGACCCUCGUCUGAUUAGCUGGUUGGUGAGGUAACAGGUCACCAAGGCGACAAUCAGUAACCGGCUUGAGAGAGUGAACGGCCACCUUGCGACUGAGACACGGCCCACACUCCUACCGGAGGCAGCAGGGGGGAAUAUUGCACAAUGGGGGAAACCCUGAUGCAUCGACCCCGCGUGAGUGAAGAAGUAUCUCGGUAUGUAAAGCUCUAUCAGCAGGGAAGAAAAUGACGGUACCUGACUAAGAAGCCCCGGCUAACUACUUGCCAGCAGCCGCGGUAAUACGUAGGGGGCAAGCGUUAUCCGGAAUUACUGGGUGUAAAGGGUGGGUAGGUGGUAUGGCAAGUCAGAAGUGAAAACGCAGGGCUUAACUCUGGGACUGCUUUUAAAUCUGUCAGAAUGGAGGGCAGGAGAGGUAAGAGGAAUUCCUAGUGUAGCGGAGAAAUGGGUAGAUAUAUGGAAGAACAGCCGGUGGGGAAGGCGGCCGUCUGGUAUGGAUUCUGACAGUGAAGCAGGAAAGCGUGGGGACCAAAUAGGAUUAGAUACCAUAGCAGUCCACGCGGUAAACGAUGUGAGCUAGGUGUGGGUCGAAUAACUCAGUGCCGCAGUUAACGCAGUAUAGUUCUCCGCCUGGGGAGUAUGCAGGCAGAGUGUGAAACUCAAAGGAAUUGACCGGAGCCCGCACAAGCGGUGUAGCAUGUGGUUUAAUUCGAAGCAACGCGCAGAACCUUAUCAGGUCUUGACAUCUCGAUGCCCGGCAUAGAGAUAUGUCUUUUUCUUCGGAAACAUCGGUGACAGGUGGUGCAUGGUUGUCGUCAGCUCGUGUCGUGAGAUGUUGGGUUAAGUCCCGCACCGAGCGCAUCCCCUAUUGUUAGUUGCUACGCUAGAGCACUCUAGCGAGACUGCCGUGGACAAACCGGAGGAAGGUGGGGACGACGUCAAAUCAUCAUGCCCCUUAUGACCUGGGCUACACACGUGCUACAAUGGCGGUCACCAAAGGGAGGCAAAGCUGGGAAGCGGAGCAAAUCCCCAAAAGCCGUCCCAGUUCGGAUUGCAGUCUGCAACUCGCCUGUAUGAAGUUGGAAUCGCUAGUAAUCGCGGAUCAGCAUGCCGCGGUGAA
rnacentral:rRNA from 1 species